UUACGGGAGGCAGCAGUGAGGAAUAUUGGACAAUGGGCGCGAGCCUGAUCCAGCCAUGCCGCGUGUGUGAAGAAGGCCUUCGGGUUGUAAAGCACUUUUGUUGGGGAAGAAAAGCACUUGGUUAAUACCCGGGUGUUCUGACGGUACCCAAAGAAUAAGCACCGGCUAACUUCGUGCCAGCAGCCGCGGUAAUACGAAGGGUGCAAGCGUUACUCGGAAUUACUGGGCGUAAAGCGUGCGUAGGUGGUUCGUUAAGUCUGUCGUGAAAGCCCCGGGCUCAACCUGGGAAUGGCGAUGGAUACUGGCGAGCUAGAGUGCGGUAGAGGAGAGUGGAAUUCCCGGUGUAGCAGUGAAAUGCGUAGAGAUCGGGAGGAACAUCAGUUGCGAAGGCGGCUCUCUGGACCAGCACUGACACUGAGGCACGAAAGCGUGGGGAGCAAACAGGAUUAGAUACCCGCGUAGUCCG
rnacentral:rRNA from 1 species